UACGAAGGGUGCAAGCGUUAAUCGGAAUUACUGGGCGUAAAGGGUGCGUAGGCGGUUGUUUAAGUCUGUCGUGAAAUCCCCGGGCUCAACCUGGGAAUGGCGAUGGAUACUGGGCAGCUAGAGUGUGUCAGAGGAUGGUGGAAUUCCCGGUGUAGCGGUGAAAUGCGUAGAGAUCGGGAGGAACAUCAGUGGCGAAGGCGGCCAUCUGGGACAACACUGACGCUGAAGCACGAAAGCGUGGGGAGCAAACAGGA
rnacentral:rRNA from 1 species